GUGGGGAAUAUUGCACAAUGGGGGAAACCCUGAUGCAGCGACGCCGCGUGAGCGAAGAAGUAUUUCGGUAUGUAAAGCUCUAUCAGCAGGGAAGAUAAUGACGGUACCUGACUAAGAAGCCCCGGCUAACUACGUGCCAGCAGCCGCGGUAAUACGUAGGGGGCAAGCGUUAUCCGGAUUUACUGGGUGUAAAGGGAGCGUAGACGGCAAGGCAAGUCUGAUGUGAAAACCCAGGGCUUAACUCUGGGACUGCAUUGGAAACUGUCUGGCUCGAGUGCCGGAGAGGUAAGCGGAAUUCCUAGUGUAGCGGUGAAAUGCGUAGAUAUUAGGAAGAACACCAGUGGCGAAGGCGGCUUACUGGACGGUAACUGACGUUGAGGCUCGAAAGCGUGGGGAGCAAACAGG
rnacentral:rRNA from 1 species